UACGUAGGCAGCAAGCGUUGUUCGGAGUUACUGGGCGUAAAGGGUGUGUAGGCGGUUCUUUAAGUUUGCUGUGAAAUCUCCCGGCUUAACCGGGAGGGUGCGGUGAAUACUGAGGGACUAGAGUACGGGAGAGGAAAGUGGAAUUCCUGGUGUAGCGGUGAAAUGCGCAGAUAUCAGGAAGAACACCCGUGGCGAGGGCGGUUCUCUGGGACGGUACUGACGCUGAGACGCGAAAGCGUGGGGAGCGAACAGG
rnacentral:rRNA from 1 species